UACGAAGGGGGCUAGCGUUGCUCGGAAUUACUGGGCGUAAAGGGCGCGUAGGCGGCACUGUUAGUCAGGCGUGAAAGUCCUGGGCUCAACCUGGGAACUGCGCUUGAUACGGCAGAGCUAGAGGAUGGAAGAGGCUCGCGGAAUUCCCAGUGUAGAGGUGAAAUUCGUAGAUAUUGGGAAGAACACCGGUGGCGAAGGCGGCGAGCUGGUCCAUUACUGACGCUGAGGCGCGACAGCGUGGGAGGCAAG
rnacentral:rRNA from 1 species